rnacentral:lncRNA from 1 species
GGAGGAUGGGAGAGAGGAAGAAAAUGUCAGAUUGCGAUAGUAUUGAGUCGGAAUAAGCUUAGUGCUAUCUCUUUUUUUUAGUUUUCUUGUUUCUUUUGUGUUAGUAUUGAUUCUAGUGAAGAGAAUCGAUUUAAUGAAUCAAUGUUUGAUUUACAAAGUUAUUUAUGGAUCACUGUUUAUCAAUUGUUAUGAAAGAUUGAUGAUAC